GGCAUGCCUUACACAUGCAAGUCGAACGGCAGCGGGGGUAGCUUGCUACUGCCGGCGAGUGGCGAACGGGUGAGUAAUACAUCGGAACGUGCCCUGUAGUGGGGGAUAACUAGUCGAAAGACUAGCUAAUACCGCAUACGACUGAGGGUGAAAGUGGGGGACCGCAAGGCCUCAUGCUAUAGGAGCGGCCGAUGUCUGAUUAGCUAGUUGGUGGGGUAAAGGCCCACCAAGGCGACGAUCAGUAGCUGGUCUGAGAGGACGAUCAGCCACACUGGGACUGAGACACGGCCCAGACUCCUACGGGAGGCAGCAGUGGGGAAUUUUGGACAAUGGGGGCAACCCUGAUCCAGCAAUGCCGCGUGUGUGAAGAAGGCCUUCGGGUUGUAAAGCACUUUUGUCCGGAAAGAAAUCGCACUGGUUAAUACCUGGUGUGGAUGACGGUACCGGAAGAAUAAGGACCGGCUAACUACGUGCCAGCAGCCGCGGUAAUACGUAGGGUCCAAGCGUUAAUCGGAAUUACUGGGCGUAAAGCGUGCGCAGGCGGUUGUGCAAGACCGAUGUGAAAUCCCCGGGCUUAACCUGGGAAUUGCAUUGGUGACUGCACGGCUAGAGUGUGUCAGAGGGAGGUAGAAUUCCACGUGUAGCAGUGAAAUGCGUAGAGAUGUGGAGGAAUACCGAUGGCGAAGGCAGCCUCCUGGGAUAACACUGACGCUCAUGCACGAAAGCGUGGGGAGCAAACAGGAUUAGAUACCCUGGUAGUCCACGCCCUAAACGAUGUCAACUAGUUGUUGGGGAUUCAUUUCCUUAGUAACGUAGCUAACGCGUGAAGU
rnacentral:rRNA from 1 species